rnacentral:rRNA from 1 species
AUGGCCAAACAAUUCACUGCCUGCAACUGGGCUCGUUCCCGGGUUACUGAAGCUCAACUGGAUGAGAUGGUUAGCAUCGGCUCUCUGCCUAAGAAAACUGAGAUCAAAUGGCGAGCCCCAGGAACUGAGAAUCCUCCAACCCCAAGACAAGGCGAAGUGGUAAUCUUUGUUGACCAUAUAAGCCAUGGUUUCAAACCGCCAGGGUCGAAAUUUUAUCGAGAUGUGCUUGCCAGCUUCCAACUGCAUCCACAAGAUAUUGGUCACAAUUCUAUCUCCAACUUAUGCAAUUUCCAAGUCUUCUGUGAAGCCUAUUUACAGGAAGAACCAACUGCCAAAUUGUUCCGGGAUUUCUUUCACUUAAACCGGCACACAGAGUUUGUGAAUGGCCCGAAUACAGAGCUUGGUGGUAUUUCGAUUCAAAAGCGGAAAGAAGUGGAAUUUCCUCAUGCCAAACACCAUAGCCACCCAAAGGAAUGGAACCAAACAUGGUUCUAUUGCAGAGACACUUCGCCUGAGGAUGAGAAUCCCCUCCCCGGCUUCCGAGAUCAUAGAUUAUCCAAUACUCACCCAAUGCCACAACGCCUGAGCUCCUCAGAAAGGUCAAAAUAUGCUCCUCAAAUCGCCAAGAUCUGA